AGUGUCUCCUUGUGGAUCUCAAGGAUGUGCUUCCACAUAGCAGCAUGUUCUUCAGGUGGACAAGGAGACACU
ensembl:miRNA